UCAGGUAGGAACACCCGCUGAACUUAAGCAUAUCAAUAAGCGGAGGAAAAGAAAAUAACAAUGAUUCCCCUAGUAACUGCGAGUGAAGAGGGACAAGCUCAAAUUUUAAAUCUGUCGGGUUUUACCUGAUCGAGUUGUAAUUUGAAGAAGCGUUUUCUGCGUAUUUGGUCAGCCCAAGUCCUAUUGAAUGAGGCAUCAUGGAGGGUGAUAAUCCCGUCCGGUUGAUCAUUGCGUUUUAUGAUACGCUUUCUAAGAGUCAAGUUGUUUGGGAUUGCAGCUUAAAAUGGGAGGUAAAUUUCUCCUAAGGCUAAAUAACGGCGAGAGACCGAUAGCGAACAAGUACCGUGAGGGAAAGAUGAAAAGAACUUUGAAAAGAGAGUUAAACAGUACGUGAAAUUGUUGAAAGGGAAACGAUUGAAGCCAGUCGUACCUAUGGGUAAUCAGCCUUUUGGGUGUGAUUUUGUGGAGCGUGAAGAGUUAAACGCCUUCAUGCCUGCAUAUUCGUGCACUUUGGGUGUACUUGCCCGUGUGUAAGUUAACAUCAAUUUUGGUGGUCAUAAAAUGGCUGGAGGAAUGUAGCUUCGAUCUUGUAUUGAAGUGUUAUAGCCUUCGGUAGAUGUGACGAUCGGGAUUGAGGAUUGCAACGGAUACCCUUCGGGGCUACCUGUCUGAUCUCUGAUUGUUGCUCUGGUACCGAAAGCUUGCUUACGGUUAUCAAAGUCGAUGGUCAAUAGGUUAGAACGGGUUAAAUUCGUUAAGGAUGUUGACGUAAUGGCUUUAAACGACCCGUCUUGAAACACGGACCAAGGAGUCUAACAUAUAUGCGAGUGUUAGGGUGAAUAAACCCUUACGCGUAAUGAAAGUAAUUUUGGUGGGAUCACUUUUGUGCACCAUCGACCGAUCAGGAUAUUUUUUGAUAGAUUUGAGUAAGAGC
rnacentral:rRNA from 1 species